UCCUGGUUAACCCAGGCAGUCUCGCUAGAGUGCCCACCAUUACGUGCUGGCAACUAACGACAAGGGUUGCGCUCGUUGCGGGACUUAACCCAACACCUCACGGCACGAGCUGACGACAGCCAUGCAGCACCUGUUCAACUGUCUCUUACGAGAAAAUGUUAUCUCUAACACGAUCAAUUGUAUGUCAAGUCCAGGUAAGGUUCUUCGCGUUGCAUCGAAUUAAACCACAUGCUCCACUGCUUGUGCGGGUCCCCGUCAAUUCUUUUGAGUUUCACCCUUGCGAGCGUACUCCCCAGGCGGUAUACUUAUCGCGUUAGCUACGGCACAAGUGGGGUUGAGACCACUUACGCCAAGUAUACAUAGUUUACGGCAAGGACUAC
rnacentral:misc_RNA from 1 species